rnacentral:rRNA from 1 species
UGCCAGACUCCUACGGGAGGCAGCAGUGGGGAAUAUUGCACAAUGGGGGAAACCCUGAUGCAGCGACGCCGCGUGAGCGAUGAAGUAUUUCGGUAUGUAAAGCUCUAUCAGCAGGGAAGAAGAUGACGGUACCUGACUAAGAAGCCCCGGCUAACUACGUGCCAGCAGCCGCGGUAAUACGUAGGGGGCAAGCGUUAUCCGGAUUUACUGGGUGUAAAGGGAGCGUAGACGGCGAUGCAAGCCAGAUGUGAAAGCCCGGGGCUCAACCCCGGGACUGCAUUUGGAACUGUGUGGCUGGAGUGUCGGAGAGGCAGGCGGAAUUCCUAGUGUAGCGGUGAAAUGCGUAGAUAUUAGGAGGAACACCAGUGGCGAAGGCGGCCUGCUGGGCUUUUACUGACGCUGAGGCUCGAAAGUGUGGGGAGCAAACAGGAUUAGAUACCCCUGUA